GGAGCGGGCGAGACGGUCGCCUCUCCUUCCCGCGAGGGGGGAGAGGAGGAAAGUCCGGACUCCGAAGGGCAGGAUGGUCGCUAACCGCGACUCCGGGCGACCGGGGGAAAGUGCCACAGAAAACACACCGCCCUCCGGGGGGCUCAGGCUCCCCGGGGAGCAAGGGUGAAAUGGCGAGGUAAGAGCUCACCGCCCCGGCGGCGACGCCGGGGGCAGGGCAAACCCCAUCCGGAGCAAGGCCAAACGAGCCCCGUUUUGGGAUGGCCCGUCCCAGGGGGCGGGUCGGCCGCUGGAGCCUCGGGGCAACCCGGGGCCUAGACAAAUGACCGUCACCCGCGCAAGCGGGGACAGGAUCCGGCUUACGACCCGCUCCGGCC
rnacentral:RNase_P_RNA from 2 species